rnacentral:tRNA from 1 species
AAAGUAUGAAGUCCAAGAAAAAGCUGCUAACUUUUUUCUUUAGCGGUUAAAUUCCGUUUAUACUUUU